GACGAACGCUGGCGGCGUGCUUAACACAUGCAAGUCGAGCGGUAAGGCCCUUUGGGGUACACGAGCGGCGAACGGGUGAGUAACACGUGAGUAAUCUGCCUUUGGCUUGGGAAUAACUUCGGGAAAUCGGGGCUAAUGCCUGAUGUUUACUGUCUGCUGCAUGGUGGGUGGUGGAAAGUAUUUUUUGGCCAGGGAUGAGCUCGCGGUCUAUCAGCUUGUUGGUGGGGUAAUGGCUUACCAAGGCUUUGACGGGUAGCCGGCCUGAGAGGGUGUUCGGCCACACUGGGACUGAGACACGGCCCAGA
rnacentral:rRNA from 1 species